CUCCACCCCAGGCUCUGCCACCUGCCUGAGAGUCUCUCUCUCCCCCUCUUCUCCCUCUCCAUCUGGCCCUAUCCCAACUCUCCCCCCACAAAACAAAACAAAACAAAACAAAACCAUUAGCCAGGGUAGGAACUUUCCAUUUUAUUUCAGGUGCAGCCAAAAGCCACUGGAAAGAUUGAAGCCCAGGAGUGACAUAGAAGCUCCAGCUCACACUUGGCCCGGGACCAAGGAGCAGUGAAUGGAGGGGGACCCCUGGUGUGGACUUGGAGUUUAGAAGAUGUAGCGCUGCAUUUGGAGGCUGAUUGGAUCAUCAGGCCAAGGGCAGUCAACAGGACCUGUGGCCACCACCACCAUCCUGGUUCUCGAGAGAGGAUUACACCAUGUAUCUCCAGCCAUGGAAAAGAUCCGAAUUCAAAAUUCAAAACACGAUUUCUCCCGAAUGCGUAUAGCUUUCACAGUACUGUGAAGCCAAGAAAUAGUAAGUUGGACCACCAUUAAGUCCAGGACUGUCUGUGUUUGGAAAGGUAAUUGCAUUUAGCCAGGAGAUAAUCUUUAUUAGAAAUAUUCUACCUAAACAAAAUACAGAAUUCUCAACUCUAAAAGAAGUCUAGAAUCAUCAAAUUCGUAUAAUAAAUUACCCUAAUGUUAUCCUUAGAUGUUUAAUUAGUUAAUUAAUUCAGGUUUUCAAUAUUCCACCAAUAUUUAUUAAGUGACUAUCUCUGUGGCAAUCCUAGUACUAGGGAUUGGCUUUUUAAA
rnacentral:lncRNA from 1 species